ensembl:lncRNA
GAUAGAGGAUGGGUAAAGGAUGGAUAGAUGAAUGGAUGGAUAGAGGUGUGGAUAGAGGAGUGGAUAGAGGUGUGGAUAGAGGAUGGAUAGAUGAAUGGAUGGAUAGAGGAGUGGAUAGAGGAUGAAUAGUUGAGUGGCUGGAUAGAGGAAUGGAUAGAGGAGUGGAUAGAGGUGUGGAUAGAGGAUGGAUAGAUGAAUGGAUGGAUAGAGGAGUGGAUAGAGGAUGAAUAGUUGAGUGGCUGGAUAGAGGAAUGGAUAGAGGAUGAAUAGAUGAGUGGAUGGAUGGAUGGAUAGAGAAGUGGAUGGAUGAAUGGAUACAAGAUGGAUAGAGAAGUGGAUGAAUGGAUGGAUAGAGGAGUGGAUAGAGGAUGGAUAGAGAGUGGAUGGAUAAAUGGAUAGAGGAUGAAUAGAUGAGUGGAUGGAUAAAUGGAUAGAGGAUGAAUAGAUGAGUGGAUGGAUGAAUGGAUAGAGGAUGGAUAGAGAAGUGGAUGGAUGAAUGGAUAGAAGAUGGAUAGAGAAGUGGAUGGAUGAAUGGAUAGAAGAGUUGGUGCCAGAUUUCUUGACCUGAGGGAAGCACUUGAUGCAGCGAGUCCUAGCUAUGAAUCAGGUGAAGUCGGACGUCGGAGUCGGACGUCUCUCCAGAACAGUGGGUUAAACAAUAUAUAAUAUAUAUAAUGAUAUAUAAUAAUAUAAUAAAGUGUCUUCGAGCGGCUCCGAGUUGACUGAAGGAACACGG